rnacentral:lncRNA from 1 species
AUGCUGUUACCAAGCUACAGUUUACAACAAACAUGUCACGAAGCAGAGUUUCAUGAGGGGAGAGUAAAAUAUUUAGAGAAGAACAUACAUGGGGAUUUAAUCCAAUUGACUGAUUUAGAAUAUAAAAAACCUGGUCAGAGUCUUGUAGAAACAGAUGGAGUCACUGGUAUUUCAGAAGAACUUGAAACAACAAAUCAGCUGGCAGACCUGCAAGCAGUCACAGCAGAAUUAGUCAGAGCAUCAACUAGAAGUCUUUGUCCACAGCACCCUGUCUCAGCUCUGACGAUACCUCAAGAAGCCUCAGAAUACUGUGUAGAAGCCACUGGUCCAGACUCAUCCUUGAAAGACCUUCAUCAAAUUCAGACUCUUAUAAUUGACCAACCAGAGAAAAUCAGAGAGAAUAAUAUAGAAGAUUUAUCAAAGUGUAUCAUGCGGCAUUAUCCAAAGGAAAAAAGUGUUCAGCCUGUGGCUCAACCAGCUUCCUCAAAGAGUAGUCCACUUGUGGAGAUGCUUUCCAAACUACGAGUUCCACAAAGGGAAGUCCAUGUUAUGCAGAAUCCUGUAGAUGGAAAGAACCUUUGGCCUCAGAGCCAGGAACUUCACAAGAGGAGCUUUCUACCAGUUAGGUCGCCAAAGACUGUGGAUUUGUUGCAUUCCCAACACCAAGUGAAGGGGACACAGUUUCUGCCAUUUCAACUGACCACGAACCAGACUAAGUAUUUGGUGAAAAAUUCCCUUUCUCCCGCUAGAAGGAUCUUUGCUGCAGGUACCCAUAAUGCUUCUCAACUGUUGGGUCUAUAUGGUCGAUUCCAGCCCACUUCACAGAAAACAGAGAUGCCCUUGUAUCUUGCUGGAAAGAGUUUCUGCCAAUCAAGACCAGAAACAAUUACUACAGUUAAAAAUAAGUCAUUAUUGAAACACUAA